rnacentral:rRNA from 1 species
UAGGGAAUAUUGGACAAUGGGUGAGAGCCUGAUCCAGCCAUGCCGCGUGCAGGAAGAAGGCGUUAUGCGUUGUAAACUGCUUUUGCCAGGGGAUAAAACGGUUCUGCGGAACUAAUUGAAGGUACCUGGUGAAUAAGCCACGGCUAACUACGUGCCAGCAGCCGCGGUAAUACGUAGGUGGCAAGCGUUGUCCGGAUUUAUUGGGUUUAAAGGGUGCGUAGGCGGCCCUGUAAGUCAGUGCUGAAAUAUCCCGGCUUAACCGGGAGGGUGGCAUUGAUACUGCAGGGCUUGAGUACAGAUGAGGUAGGCGGAAUUGACGGUGUAGCGGUGAAAUGCAUAGAUAUCGUCAAGAACACCGAUAGCGAAGGCAGCUUACCAAGCUGUAACUGACGCUGAGGCACGAAAGUGUGGGGAUCAAACA